UAAGACAGAGGUGGCAAGCGUUGUUCGGAAUUACUGGGCUUAAAGGGCGCGUAGGCGGUGCGGCAAGUCCGUGGUGGAAUUUCAGGGCUUAACCCUGAAACUGCCCCGGAAACUGCCGUGCUUGAGUCAGUGAGGGGAGGGCGGAAUUCCUGGUGUAGCAGUGAAAUGCGUAGAUAUCAGGAGGAAGGUCUGUGGCGAAGGCGGCCCUCUGGCGCUUGACUGACGCUGAUGCGCGAAAGCGUGGGGAGCAAACAGGAUUAGAUACCCUGGUAGUCCACGCCCUAAACGGUGGGCAUUAGGUGUAGGGCUCGUUAGGGCUCUGUGCCGUAGGGAAACCAUUAAAUGCCCCGCCUGGGGAGUACGGCCGCAAGGUUGAAACUUAAAUGAAUUGACGG
rnacentral:rRNA from 1 species